rnacentral:rRNA from 1 species
ACUCCUACGGGAGGCAGCAGUGGGGAAUAUUGCACAAUGGGCGCAAGCCUGAUGCAGCCAUGCCGCGUGUAUGAAGAAGGCCUUCGGGUUGUAAAGUACUUUCAGCAGUGAGGAAGGUGGGUAUGUUAAUAGCAUAUUCAUUUGACGUUAGCUGCAGAAGAAGCACCGGCUAACUCCGUGCCAGCAGCCGCGGUAAUACGGAGGGUGCGAGCGUUAAUCGGAAUUACUGGGCGUAAAGCGCAUGCAGGUGGUUUGUUAAGUCAGAUGUGAAAGCCCGGGGCUCAACCUCGGAAUUGCAUUUGAAACUGGCAAACUAGAGUACUGUAGAGGGGGGUAGAAUUUCAGGUGUAGCGGUGAAAUGCGUAGAGAUCUGAAGGAAUACCGGUGGCGAAGGCGGCCCCCUGGACAGAUACUGACACUCAGAUGCGAAAGCGUGGGGAGCAAACAGGAUUAGAUACCCUGGUAGCUACGAG